rnacentral:rRNA from 1 species
GACGAACGCUGGCGGCGUGCUUAACACAUGCAAGUCGAACGGAAAGGCCCUGCUUUUGUGGGGUUCUCGAGUGGCGAACGGGUGAGUAACACGUGAGUAACCUGCCCUUGACUUUGGGAUAACUUCAGGAAACUGGGGCUAAUACCGGAUAUGAGCUCCUGCUGCAUGGUGGGGGUUGGAAAGUUUCGGCGGUUGUGGAUGGACUCGCGGCUUAUCAGCUUGUUGGUGGGGUAGUGGCUUACCAAGGCUUUGACGGGUAGCCGGCCUGAGAGGGUUACCGGCCACAUUGGGACUGAGAGACGGCCCAGACUCCUACGGGAGGCAGCAGUGGGGAAUAUUGCAGAAUGGGCGGAAGCCUGAUGCAGCAACGCCGCGUGCGGGAUGACGGCCUUCGGGUUGUAAACCGAUUUCGCAUGUGACGAAGCGUGAGUGACGGUAAUGGGUAAAGAAGCAACGGCUAACUACGUG